rnacentral:misc_RNA from 1 species
GAUGAAGAACGUAGCGAAAUGCGAUAAGUAAUGUGAAUUGCAGAAUUCAGUGAAUCAUCGAAUCUUUGAACGCACAUUGCGCCCCCUGAUAUUCCGGGGGGCAUGCCUGUUCGAGCGUCAUUUCACCACUCAAGCCUCGCUUGGUAUUGGGCAACGCGGUCCGCCGCGUGCCUCAAAUCGACCGGCUGGGUCUUCUGUCCCCUAAGCGUUGUGGAAACUAUUCGCUAAAGGGUGUUCGGGAGGCUACGCCGUAAAACAACCCCAUUUCUAAGGUUGACCUCGGAUCAGGUAGGGAUACCCGCUGAACUUAAGCAUAUCAAUAAGCGGAGGA